AAAACAGAAGAGGAAUGGAGACGAGAAUGCUUUCUGGUGUUUGAGGCAAAGCGGAUAUGGCAUUCAACGUGUAUCUAUUACCUGUGCGUAUGUGUUUCAGACCAAUCUGCAUAAAGGAGAAUAAAAUCUCUGCAGGACAGUCAAACCGUAUGAGAUUCAAAUUUUACGGAACUACUACUCUUCUGGACAGCCCUCUACAGAUGGUUUCUCCCCUAGAUUCAAAAGGGCAGCUGUGUGUGUGUGUGUGUGCACUGAAACCCUGGAUAUUUCCCUGCCUCUGUGCUGUGGGGGUCCUUGCACAGUCUGACUGCCUGGAUAGGUGGCCCUAGCACUGCCUGAAAGAGCGAUGAAGGGUUCCAUCUUGUGUUGAGUCUACAUCGUCACGGUCGACUCGGGGAACAAAGCCAGGUCUUCCACGGGGAUUCUGGGUAGAAUUGGCUGGCAGACGGAGUGCCUGCUCGCUUGUGGAGCUGCUCUGAGAAACGUUUGGACUUUUGAAAAUAAAGUCCGUUGGUACCGUUGAAAGUAGUGUUGAAAUAAGAUACGCUCCAGAAAGAAAAAAUGAAAAGAAACCAAAGAGAGCCAUGUGUCCCAAAGUAAUGUGCUUGAAGGAAUCUUAAAGAGGUAUUAACACACACAGGUCCACUGACAUUGAUUUGGUUUCCUAGAUGAUAUCAUUAGAGUAAAACAUUGAACAAAUCCACAUUUUCACAGAGA